UGGAUCCCAUGUGACCAGGAGUCGACGUGUGCAGAAGUCCUGCUAGUCUGGUCCUUGUUCCUGUCUGGGUACCAGUUUCCUUUAGCCCUGCAAGCGGAGGAGCAGGAGGCCAGCGGGUGGAACCAGCUCGCGGGAAUUUUGCAGGUCUGUUCUAGCACUGCCCAAGGCUAAAAAAGUAAGAGGCAGAAACUGACUGGAUCAAUACGAAGUAGUUGCUUUAAAAGAGGAAUAGGCAGGAAGAAGGAAAGAAGA
rnacentral:lncRNA from 1 species